UGGGGAAUUUUGGACAAUGGGCGAAAGCCUGAUCCAGCAAUGCCGCGUGUGUGAAGAAGGCCUUCGGGUUGUAAAGCACUUUUGUCCGGAAAGAAAUCCUUGGCUCUAAUACAGUCGGGGGAUGACGGUACCGGAAGAAUAAGCACCGGCUAACUACGUGCCAGCAGCCGCGGUAAUACGUAGGGUGCAAGCGUUAAUCGGAAUUACUGGGCGUAAAGCGUGCGCAGGCGGUUUGCUAAGACCGAUGUGAAAUCCCCGGGCUCAACCUGGGAACUGCAUUGGUGACUGGCAGGCUAGAGUAUGGCAGAGGGGGGUAGAAUUCCACGUGUAGCAGUGAAAUGCGUAGAGAUGUGGAGGAAUACCGAUGGCGAAGGCAGCCCCCUGGGCCAAUACUGACGCUCAUGCACGAAAGCGUGGGGAGCAAACAGGAUUAGAUACCCUGGUAGUCCACGCCCUAAACGAUGUCAACUAGUUGUUGGGGAUUCAUUUCCUUAGUAACGUAGCUAACGCGUGAAGUUGACCGCCUGGGGAGUACGGUCGCAAGAUUAAAACUUAAAUGAAUUGCGGGGUCCUAGCUGUUUCC
rnacentral:rRNA from 1 species